UGUUUGAUCCUGGCUCAGAACGAACGCUGGCGGCAGGCCUAACACAUGCAAGUCGAGCGCUCUCUUCGGAGGGAGCGGCGGACGGGUUAGUAACGCGUGGGAAUAUACCCUUUGGUACGGAAUAGCCUCUGGAAACGGAGAGUAAUACCGUAUGAGCCCUUCGGGGGAAAGAUUUAUCGCCAAAGGAUUAGCCCGCGUUAGAUUAGGUAGUUGGUGGGGUAAUGGCCUACCAAGCCUACGAUCUAUAGCUGGUUUUAGAGGAUGAUCAGCAACACUGGGACUGAGACACGGCCCAGACUCCUACGGGAGGCAGCAGUGGGGAAUCUUGGACAAUGGGGGCAACCCUGAUCCAGCCAUGCCGCGUGAGUGAUGAAGGCCUUAGGGUCGUAAAGCUCUUUCGCCUGUGAAGAUAAUGACGGUAGCAGGUAAAGAAACCCCGGCUAACUCCGUGCCAGCAGCCGCGGUAAUACGGAGGGGGUUAGCGUUGUUCGGAAUUACUGGGCGUAAAGCGCACGUAGGCGGACUGGAAAGUUGGGGGUGAAAUCCCAGGGCUCAACCCUGGAACUGCCUCCAAAACUAUCAGUCUAGAGUUCGAGAGAGGUGAGUGGAAUUCCGAGUGUAGAGGUGAAAUUCGUAGAUAUUCGGAGGAACACCAGUGGCGAAGGCGGCUCACUGGCUCGAUACUGACGCUGAGGUGCGAAAGUGUGGGGAGCAAACAGGAUUAGAUACCCUGGUAGUCCACACCGUAAACGAUGAAUGCCAGUCGUCGGGUAGCAUGCUAUUCGGUGACACACCUAACGGAU
rnacentral:rRNA from 1 species